rnacentral:lncRNA from 1 species
UCCAGUAGAGAGGAAGGCCAAGAAAGCCGGAGGAAACAGUUCCUCGACUUGCUCCCUAUAACCAGCUCCAGCCUGGAGGAUUCCUGACUCGCCAUGGAGUCCACUCUGAGCGCCGGCAUCAUGAUGGCUGAAGCACUACAAAACCAGCUUCCCGGGCUAGAGAAUAUGUGGCUCUGGGUCACCUUUCUGGCCGAUCCCAAGAACCUCUUUCAGUUCUACUUCCCCGCGGUCUACUACGCCUCCCGCCGCCUGGGCAUCUCCCUGUUCUGGAUCGCCUUCAUUACUGAGUGGCUCAACCUCGUCUUCAAGUGGUUUCUGUUUGGAGACAGGCCCUUCUGGUGGGUGCAUGAAUCCGGGUACUCCGCCCAGACUCCAGUCCAGAUUCACCAGUUCCCUUCUUCUUGUGAGACUGGUCCAGGCAGCCCCUCUGGUCACUGCAUGAUCACAGGCGCAGCUUUGUGGCCCGUAAUGAUAGCCAUUUCAUCUCAGGUGGCCUCUCAGACCCGCAGCCCCUGGGUGAGGGUGAUUCCUGGCCUGGCCUACUGCACCUUCCUAUUGGCAGUCGGCCUGUCUCGGGUCUUCCUCUUAGCACAUUUCCCUCACCAAGUGUUGGCUGGCCUUCUAGCUGGUGUUAUCCUUGGCUGGCUGUUGAGUCCCCGGGUGCCCAUGGAGCGGGAACUUAGCUUUUAUGGGUUGACUGCUCUGACCCUCAUGCUGGGUG